CCUACGGGGGGCAGCAGUGGGGAAUUUUGGACAAUGGGCGCAAGCCUGAUCCAGCAAUGCCGCGUGAGUGAAGAAGGCCUUCGGGUUGUAAAGCUCUUUUGUGGAACGUACGGUACCUGAAGAAUAAGCACCGGCUAACUACGUGCCAGCAGCCGCGGUAAUACGUAGGGUGCAAGCGUUAAUCGGAAUUACUGGGCGUAAAGCGUGCGCAGGCGGUUUUGUAAGUCUGACGUGAAAUCCCCGGGCUCAACCUGGGAAUUGCGUUGGAGACUGCAAGGCUAGAAUCUGGCAGAGGGGGGUAGAAUUCCACGUGUAGCAGUGAAAUGCGUAGAGAUGUGGAGGAACACCGAUGGCGAAGGCAGCCCCCUGGGUCAGUUGACGCUCAUGCACGAAAGCGUGGGGAGCAAACAGGAUUAGAUACCCUGGUAGUC
rnacentral:rRNA from 1 species